CCCUUAGAUGUUCUGGGCUGCACGCGCGCUACACUGAUACUUUCAGCGAGUCCACCACCUUGCCUGGGAGGGUGGGGUAACCUCUGGAAAGUGCAUCGUGAUGGGGAUCGAUUAUUGUAAUUAUUAAUCUUCAACGAGGAAUUCCUAGUAAGCAUGUGUCAUCAGCCCGUGCUGAUUACGUCCCUGCCCUUUGUACACGCCGCCCGUCGCUCCUACCGAUUGAGUGGUCCGGUGAGGCUUUGGGAUCUGAGCGGAAAGAGCGUUUCGCUGUUUCUGCUCGGAAAACUCAGUCGAACCUUAUCAUUUAGAGGAAGGAGAAGUCGUAACA
rnacentral:rRNA from 1 species